CACGUAGGGGGCGAGCGUUGUCCGGAAUCAUUGGGCGUAAAGAGCUCGUAGGCGGCUCGGUAAGUCGGGUGUGAAACCCCCAGGCUCAACCUGGGGACGCCACCCGAUACUGCUGUGGCUAGAGUCCAGUAGGGGAGUGUGGAAUUCCCGGUGUAGCGGUGAAAUGCGCAGAUAUCGGGAGGAACACCAGCGGCGAAGGCGGCACUCUGGGCCAUCCCUGACGCUGAGGCGCGAAGGCCAGGGGAGCGAACGGG
rnacentral:rRNA from 1 species